rnacentral:rRNA from 1 species
UAAGACGAAGGUGGCGAGCGUUACUCGGAAUUACUAGGUGUAAAGCAUGGGCAGGCGGUUCGGUAAGUCUGUUGUGAAAUCUCCCGGCUUAACCGGGAGGGGUCAAUGGAUACUGCCGGGCUUGAAUGUGGGAGGGGUGACUGGAAUUCCUGGUGUAGCGGUGAAAUGCGUAGAUAUCAGGAGGAACACCAAUGGCGAAAGCAGGUCACUAGACCACUAUUGACGCUCAUCCAUGAAAGCUAGGGGAUCAAACAGGAUUAGAUACCCUGGUAGUCCUAGCUGUAAACGAUGCUCACUAGGUGUGGGAGGUAUCGACCCCUUCCGCGCCGACGCUAACGCAUUAAGUGAGCCACCUGGGGAGUACGGCCGCAAGGUUG